rnacentral:siRNA from 1 species
GGGAAUGCCACUGCCACGUCAGA